AUAUAUAUAUAUAUAUAUAUAUAUAUAUAUAUAUAUAUAUAUACACAUGUAUAUAUAUAUAUAUAUUUCGUUCGCGGUUCGGUUCGCGAGUAUAUGUACCCGCGAGUGUGGUCCUGAAAAAAAAAUUUCGCGAGUGGCGGCUGCUCGUCGACCUUUGGUGGGGCUGCUUCAGAAACGGGGUGGGGAGAGAAAGAAGGGGGAACGACGGGUGGUUGGGUGGGAGACAGUCGAGGGGGGAGAGAAGACAAGUUCGUCCAUCACGAUCGUCGGCCAGUCUCGAACUUCGACCUCCGAAGAGGGAAAUUCGCUUAUCGCGGAGGGCUCUUGCUCUUCGUACACGGCCAGACGGAUUCGUGAUUCUGGGGCGGCUCUUCGUAAUGCAACCGAAUUCAUCGAGAGAAAGGAAUAAACUCUCCACAACGCAUAAUAUCGAGGUCUCUACAAUGAUGAACGAAGGAGAGGACCCGGAAGGAGGAGGAAUGGUUAUCUUUUGGAAUGAAUCGGAUCAAGUCAGAAGAAUGGAAUAGAGAAGAGAGAAAGAGAAAAAGAGAGAGAGAGAGAGAGAGAGAGAGAGAGAGAGAGAGAGAGAGAGAUAAAGAAAGAAAGGAAAGAGAAGGAGAGAGAGAGAGAGAGAGAGAAAUAAAGAAAAAAAGAAAGAGAUAGAGGUAGAGAAAGAGACAGACAUCCCUCCGACGAGAGCGUACAUCGUUAAUGGAAAUAGACGUUAUCAGCUCUAUACUUGAUGACACUAACCCGUAGAUCCGAACUUGUGGGCUUUUUUAUAUGCAUACCGCAAGCUCCUAUCUACCGGUACAUGUAGUCAGGCCGGCGUUAAAAGCUCUCGGACGGAGAUCCUCUUCCUCCUCCCGCCCCGCAACUCCCCACUCUCUCUCUCUGUGACCUCCCAAAUAAUACUUACAGCACUUCCGGUUUAAGAGACGCCUAACUCUUCUUGUCAAGUUAUUUCCUCGAAAGAGAGAGAGAAAGACAGAGAGAAAGAGAGAAGAAAAAAGAGAAAAAGAAAGAGAGAGAGAGAGAGAGAGAGAGAGAGAGAGAGAGAGAGAGAGAGAGAGAAUAGGAGUAGGAGGAAGAGAGAAAAGGAAAGAAAAGAAAGGAGGGAAAUGAAAGCGGAUCGUACUCCCAUUUUUGUUUUUUUGUCUUUUUUUUUUUUUCUUUCUUUUUGUUUUGUUUUUAGUGCCUACCGGAUACAUUCGAUAUGCACGCACACAGAGAGAUAUACAUACACACUGUAAUUAUGUGUAUACAUACACAUAUACAUAUACAUGUAGAUACAUGCACGCAAUUUCGUAAAGUUAAAAAGUUAAAUUUAAGAAGGUAUCGAACCAAGUGUAAAAAAUAAAAAAAGAAAGGGAUAAAAGAGAAAUUACAAAAAAAAACAAAAAAGAAAAAAAAGAAAAAGUGUCUCACACCGAAAUCUCGACAAUUUUAUAAUAUAUCAUAAUGUGUUAUAAUAUAAAUGUUUUCAAAAUGCCAUAUUGUUACUUAUCGAUAUUGAUAACGAACUUGAGAUCUAUACUUUUGUAUAGACCUUUAGUUUUGUCUUCUUUCAUAUUUUUGUUGUAUGAAAAAAAAAAAAAAAGAGACAAAAAAAUUAUUAUACCAUAGAGUAAAAUGAAAACGUGGUUGGAGUAAAAAAUUGUAAGAAAAGGGAAAUGAACUUUUUUGUUCAUUUUCUUUUUCUCUUUUUUUUUCUUUUUUUUUUUUUUUUUUUUUUUUUUUUAAAUACUUAACUUCAUACCCGUACAUUUAUUUUUAUUAAUUUUUAUUUUUAUUGAGGAUCACCGAAUAACAGUCCAUGCGAUAUUAAACUAUACAACACACAUGUCUACACCAUACAUGCAUGCAUGCAUGCAUGCAUACAUGCAUACAUGUACACAUAUGCAGCAUAAUGGUAAUAACCACGAGAUCGUGAAAAUACUUUACUAACUGCAUACAUACAGGCAUUUACAUACACACACACACACACACACACACAUAUAUGUAUAUAUAUUUGUACUCCGAUAGAUAAGAGGAAUGAAAAAAAGGAAAGAAAGGGGAAAAAAAAAUAAAAAUCGGACAGAAGAGUACGUAAAAUAAUCGAACGAUUUCGUAAGCACGUUUAUUACGUAGAAGAAAAAGUUGGAC